rnacentral:rRNA from 1 species
UUUCCUACGGGACGCAGCAGUGGGGAAUAUUGCACAAUGGGGGAAACCCUGAUGCAGCAACGCCGCGUGAGUGAUGACGGCCUUCGGGUUGUAAAGCUCUGUCUUCAGGGACGAUAAUGACGGUACCUGAGGAGGAAGCCACGGCUAACUACGUGCCAGCAGCCGCGGUAAUACGUAGGGGGCUAGCGUUAUCCGGAAUUACUGGGCGUAAAGGGUGCGUAGGUGGUUUCUUAAGUCAGAGGUGAAAGGCUACGGCUCAACCGUAGUAAGCCUUUGAAACUGGGGAACUUGAGUGCAGGAGAGGG